rnacentral:rRNA from 1 species
GACGGCCGCUGGCGGCGUGCUUAACACAUGCAAGUCGAACGGAAAGGCCCUGCUUUUGUGGGGUGCUCGAGUGGCGAACGGGUGAGUAACACGUGUGUAACCUGCCCCUGACUUUGGGAUAACUUCACGAAACUGGGGCUCCUACCGGAUAGGAGCUCCUGCUGCAUGGUGGGGGUUGGAAAGUUUCGGCGGUUGGGGAUGGACUCGCGGCUUAUCAGCUUGUUGGUGGGGUAGUGGCUUACCAAGGCUUUGACGGGUAGCCGGCCUGAGAGGGUGACCGGCCACAUUGGGACUGAGAUACGGCCCAGACUCCUACGGGAGGCAGCAGUGGGGAAUACUGCACGAUGGGCGGAAGCCGGAUGCAGCAACGCCGCGUGCGGGAUGACGGCCUUCGGGUUGUAAACCGCUUUCGCCUGUGACGAAGCGUGAGGGACGGUAAUGGGUAGAGAAGCACCGGCUAACUACGU